rnacentral:lncRNA from 1 species
AAGCAGCACAUGUGGGUCACCUUGGAGACAGCCGACCUACCAAUCUGAAAGAGACCGUUUUCCCUAACUUCCAGGACUGGGGGAGUUAACGGUUUGAGCGAACUCUCUCGCUGAAGUCCCACGGCUUCAGGGUCAUUCGACUUGCAAAUUGACUUGGCUCCUCUCUCACACCCAUGUUUAGGGGGCUGUGGCCAGCAUGGUGUUUUCCAUAGCCCUGGAACGGAAAUCAGGUUGGGCAGCGUGACCAACCGCUGAAGCACGGCAGGAGGAAUGACUAGAUAGGAUUUAAGGAUGGCUCCCGGGACCGCAGCAUCAGAGGAACGUCAAGAACACACCUUAAGGGAGAGAAAGACCGUUGUGAGUGGACCUUCCCAGACCCUCAGGUGAGCUCCAGACUCCACAAGGACACCCCUGAAUCGACGGACGUCUCUCCUUAUUUCCUUGAGUGAUCUGCAUUUCUCUCAGAAUUGUGAAGGGAGCAGAUGGAACGGGGCUCUCAGGAGCAAGCACCUAUACUCUCUUGGCAACUUUCCUCGAUGUCCAGUGUCCACGCACCUCCUAGCUUUGAGCAUCGCUGUCUACUCGUCCUUGAGAGCGUCAGCAAGAAGGAAAUUACUCUGCCAUUUUCAACCACCCCUCAUCCCAAUCUUACCAUACUUAUCCUAGACUGGCUCUUCCAGGACCAGAUCUGAGUCUGACUCACCUCUGUGUUCCCAAAAUUGAGUACCGGCUGGUCCAAGAGUGGUUUCCUACCUAUAUCUGAAGAGUUGAGUAUAUGUGGGGCCCAUCUCAUUCACUGUGUUCUAGGCCCUAGGGUGUUUUUCAUCCUAACAGGAAACUGAUCUGGCCUAGGGUGUUGUCUGCAAGUCACCCAUGGGCACCAUUGCCUUCGCCAGGCCGCGGUUUCUUAAUGUAGUACUGGAAGUUCAUGUAUUUUUCCCAAAAGGGUAGGCAAAGUUUUCAAGAGUUUGUGGGUUGUUUUCUGGGAGGGAGGAUCAGCAACAGUCUCCAUCAGAAUUCAGCGGGGUUGUGAGAAGAGACCGGAGAAAGGGUACGGGGAGGAGAAUAGUUCCCGGAAACAUUUGCCCAGAUCCCUGGGUCACACACCUGCUGUCCUCCUCCGUCCUCCUCCGGCAUGGGAGGAGCCCUGAGCUCCAGGGGUGCAUGUCACUGUUUGGCCCUUUGGGAAGUUCUAUAAACUGGGAUGUGUCCCCUGCAAGCACACUCCUGUGGUGUGAGCACCCUUCAAAGGCAUUUGCUGGCUUUCACAGGGCUCUGGAUCUUUUCGAGGUCUCUUCCCAGGAGCAAUUGCCCUUGCCUGCUUUUCCUUCAGGCCUCUGCUGUCGGGUCUUCAGGGCCAACUCUCUGCCUGACCAUGGCCUGAGCAGCGAGAACCCCUCCCCUAACACCUGUUUCAGCACAUGACUGGGCCAAUCCUGAUUUUCAAGACACAUUUCUGUGGUCCUUCAACUGUCAGGGCUAUUGAUGAAUUGUGGUCUCCCAAGAAGACGGGCUCCUCACUUGACGCCUCUCUGUUCUGUUCCUGUGGCCUAGCAAGGGGUAUGCACACCAUAGGUGCUAAAUAAAUGUGCAGUAUCAAGAAAACAGUCUUGUUUUCACAGACUGGAUCGGCCAUAGCUGAACCAGUUUCUUGGAUGCUCUCUAACGGGCAUGCAGGAUGCCUUGUUUUCUUAUGCGGUAUAGAGUGGCCAUUCUGGGGCUCGAAGGGAGAACGUGGUUCCUCACUGCCGACCCAGGGAAGGAGCUCAGCUACGUAGACUCUGAACCCAGGCAGUCUGGAUUCAAACCUCAAUGUAACUCUAUUGCCCUGAGCAUGUUGAUCUCUUUGUGCCCACGUGUCCCUUAUCUUAUACAGGGAUGUUAACAUCCUAGGCCACUUGGGGGACUCUUGAGAGAAUUCAAGCAUUUGUAAUCUAGAGUGGGACAUUGCCAGUGCAUGGCUGUCAUUAAUGGCCACACAAUUCAAGUCCCUUCUGCCCUUUGCCUUUCAAUAAUAUGUCUAAAGCCUAGAGCCUUCACUUCAAUUUCUUGGCUCCCAUUUAACCAGCCCAAGUAACGGGAUCAUCCAAGGUCAUUUCCAACCUGUGGACACUGGGUUGUUAGCUGGAAGGACCCAUGUGUGCCCUGGUCUCUGGCGCAUGGGGCCAAUCUUAGUUUCAGCAGAAUAGUCAUAGUUACACCCCAGUCUUGGAUCUUGGAGUUUUCUUAUUUAUGAAGCAAGCCCCAAAUACCUCCUCAAGCCAGAAGCCUGAUGGGAGAAUUCAUUAAUGCCCUUGCCUGACCCUUGAGAAUGAAAAAGGGUCAGGGAAAGUUGGACUUGCUGAGUGUCUAGCACAAUCCUUGACAUCUUGCACAUCCUUUAGUGAGCCUUCACAUUAGCCCGAGGAACCCACAGAAGACGCCUAUGACUCAAGAAUUAUCGGCCAACAUGUGGACUUCCUGCUGAUGUCUGCACUUGCAUUAGAGGAGGCUCUGGAAUACCAUUUGUGGUAAUGGACCACUUCUGUAUCUUGAUUGUGGUGAUGAUUAUAUGGGAUCAAAUCUCACAGGAGCAAAUGGCACAGGCUGCGUGCUGAGCGGAAGCCUCUGGACUCUUAAAGAAGGCUUCUGAGUUAGUGAAAUUGGACUACAGCCAACUUGCUGGCUCAGAGUUUUGUGGUCACAUUAGAUGUUGCUACUGGGGGAAGCUGGGGAACGGUCCAUGGAACCCUCUAUCUCUGCUAUUUAAGGCUUGUGAGUCUUAAACUAGAAUAAAAU